UGAUAUUCUCCCCACCCCUCACCCUACGGCACGUAUGUGACUACUUUGUGAGAAGCGCUGGGCUAGGUCCUGAAGCGAUGUACAAAACAGGAAAAAGAAAGUCGCUGCCCUCGAGCUACGUAGAGUCAAGAGCGAGCACGCGAGCGAAAGCAUUUAAUGAGAUGAGGUAACGGAGGCCCGGCGAAGUGAAGCGAUUCACCCGAG